rnacentral:rRNA from 1 species
GAUGAACGCUGGCGGCGUGCUUAACACAUGCCAGUCGAACGAUGAAGCCCAGCUUGCUGGGGGGUUUAGUGGCGAACGGGUGAGUAACACGUGAGUAACCUGCCCUUAACUCUGGGAUAAGCCUGGAAAACGGGGCCUAAUACCGGAUAGGAGCGUCCACCGCAGGGUGGGUGUUGGAGAGAUUUAUCGGUUUUGGAUGGACUCGCGGCCUAUCAGCUUGUUGGUGAGGUAAUGGCUCACCAAGGCGGAGACGGGUAGCCGGCCUGAGAGGGUGACCGGGCACACUGGGACUGAGACACGGACCAGACUCCUACGGGAGGCAGCAGUGGGGAAUAUUGCACAAUGGGCGCAAGCCUGAUGCAGCGACGCCGCGUGAGGGAUGACGGCCUUCGGGUUGUAAACCUCUUUCAGUAGGGAAGAAGCGAAAGUGACGGUACCUGCAGAAGAAGCACCGGCUAACUACGUG